rnacentral:tRNA from 1 species
ACUCCCGUAGUUUAAUGGAUAGAAUUGAAGAUUCCGGUUCUUCCGGUUGGGGUUCGAUUCCCCACGGGAGUACCA